ACUAUGACUCACCUCUAGAGUCCUCUAUUCGAAGACGUUUGGACGGCCAAACCACUCACGA
rnacentral:ncRNA from 1 species